AAAUUUUUUAGUAACUUUACUUUCUAUGAUCUUAGACGACAACUUUUGGUGGAGCUUGUUGAUGGCUCUUCAAACGUUUAAAAAAAGGAAGAUUUGAGGUCAGUUUUUGUUAAUAAUUUACCUGAAUUAAUGCAAUGAUUUCACACUAAAGACUAAAGAGAGGGGGAGAAAAAAAGUUAUGAAACAAAUAAACAAAAUACAAUGAAUAAUAUCUGGACUCCUCAUUUCAAGGGCAGCAAGGCAUGUUUUAGUGCUUUGAAAGUCUGAGGUUGCUCUGACUUUUGUCUUAUUCUUGUCUUCCUUCAAGUUAAAUCCAUCAUUGCAACUAUAUAUUAUUCAACUUGCCUUCCAAUUUUUUUUUUUAAUUUUUUUUAAUAAAAUCCCGCCUUCCAAUUUGACUGAGAUAUUAAUUUUUUUUUUAAAAAAAAGGAAUUAGACAAGAAUUCAGUCAUAUUCUUGUGUGACAUAAUGAAGUUUCUUCAACUUAAACUUAGGUACGAUUGUGACUUUAUUUUCUUUGAUUCUAUUUCACAAGUGCUUGUCCACUUUAUUUUCUUUGAUUUAACAUGACAACUUUUCGUAGAGCUUGUUGAUGACAUGACUACGAAACAAAAUGAAGACUUUGAGGUGGGUUUUUGUUAAUUUUCCUGAAUGAAUGCAAUGAAUUCACUGAAGUCCAAAGAUUAAAGAGGUGCAAAGAAAAAAAAUUAACGGUGACGAAGGACACACCCAAGGCAUCUUUUAAGAGAAAAAAAAAAGUAAGGGAUUUGAUGAAAUUAAAAGAAAGAAUUUAUUAAAAUUAAUUCUUGAAAUAGUUUUUUUCGGCACAAUUUUAUUAUUUUUUACUCACGGCCUAAAAGCCUUUGACCCAACACAAAAAUAAUUGACAACUGAACCAAUCAAAUCUGUCAAAAACACUACAAAUUCUUAUGAUAUUUUGAUGGAUUUUUCUAUCUUAAAAUCUAUGUAAGGUACAUUCUCCUACAAAUUGAACUGUGGGUCCCAUUUAAUCCCACAGCCAGCCAAUAGAGAGAUUGUAUCUUACAUUAAUGAUAGGUUAUGAUUAUAUUAAAAUUCAUUUAUGGUGGAUCACGAAUCUCAACCACACACUCAAAGUGAUAAAUAAUAAAAAAUAUUUAUUAUUAUUUAUUAUUUAUUACUUUAUGUGUGACUGAAAUUCAUAUUUUAUCAUAGGUGAAUUCUAAUAUAACGAAACCCUUGAUUGUAAGGUAACAUCUCCCCAUUUUGAUGCAAAACUUUUCAUUGUAAGUUAAAAAGGUUGUUCUGAUUUACAUCUACUUGUCUGCUCUUCCUUCACGUUAAACCAUUGCAACUAUUGUUCAACUUGCCUUCCAAUUUGAAUAAGAUACGAAAAGGAAUACGGCAUUGGCCAAGAAUAAAGUCAAAAGUCCAUUGCAUUAAAGAAUUGACUCGUAUUCUUGCGCACAAGUUGGGCGUAGAAAUUUAAUAAAAAUAAGUACCUCAUGCCAAUUGAAAGCCCAUAAUUCAAAGAAGAUUGGAGCUCUUAAAAUUUAAUUGAUUGAGACCAGACUGAAAAAAAAGAAAAAAAAAAUUAUUACAGCUGGAUAAACCGCGUUUGGCAGCCCAUUCUAAAUUAUUAUUAUUGUUGUUAUUAUUAUUAAUUAAUUAAUUAAUUAAUUAAACGUUUUCUUAAUGCGCGUUAGAUUAAUUUCGCCGCCGGCCGGCACCACUGUAAGAAAAAGUUCAGUUUGUUCGAAAAAGAAAAAUCGAAUACUAAAUCAAGGGGGAAAAAGAAAAAACAAACAAUACAAAGAAAGUGUAAAUUAAUUAGAGCAAAAUCUCCAUUAAAGAAUGUGUUAAGCAAAGCAUCGGUCAAAAUUGAUUACAACUGGCCUCCGAUCCAAUGGGUGUCUCUCUAUUUGUUGUGUGUAUUUUCUGAAAAAUAUUUUCAGAAAACAGAAUAAAAGAUGAGCUGUUCGGUGGUGGUGGUACUAUCAAACCCCCUAGCAGCCUUGACGGAGCAAUUGUCCAUACCCACACCGGUACCCGUACCCGCACCCAUCCGGAUAGGAUCUUGAGCGGCGCCGCAUUGGUCUUGAUGGAGUUGAUUAGAAGGCGGAUGGUAAUACAAACGCGCCGUUUGUGGGCAGUGAGAGUGGAAUCUUGCCGCGAUUCUGACUCCGGCGUCCAGCAACUCCACGUACUUCCCCAUGGCCAUCAUUCGAGAAACAGAGUGAUGAUUUCGGUUUUUGAAGAGGACCCAGAUGAAAAAUAUUACAAGGAAAGAAUUCUUCUAUUUUUUUUUUUUUUUUGGGGAGGCUUUGAAGUUGAGGACGGGGAAGAAGAGGCUUGUUGAAAUUGUUUAUAUAGCCUCUCCCCCAGUUUCCUUGGCCUCCACUUUCUUACUUUCCUCUCCCUUUCUCUCUCCGUCUAGGGCUUUUUUAAUUUGAUGUUGGGCCCUUUGCCUAAAUAUGAAAUUUUUUUAUUUAUAUCCUUAGUCUCUGAAAUGUUCAGAAAUAAAGGAAACCUUCUCUGAUUUUAACAUUUAGGUCCC
rnacentral:lncRNA from 1 species